GUAGUAAUCCCUCUGUUCGGAAUUACUUGUCUCGGAAAUGGAUGUAUCUAGAACUAAAAUACAUCUAGAUACAUCCAUUUCUGCGACAAAUAAUUCCGAACGGAGGAAGUAGAAU
rfam:Triticum aestivum genome assembly, contig: Triticum_aestivum_CS42_TGACv1_scaffold_487899_6AS